GUCAGAUCCUAGGAUCAAGCUUUACCCCGUGAGUCACAUCUGAUGCCAGAUUUCUGUGUAUCCUCACAGGUAUGUUGAAUGUGUGUGUGAGAGUCUGCAGGCCUGAGUGGUUUUACUGCACAGCUGCAUAUGCCUCUGUGUGUGUGUGUGUGUGUGUGUGUGUGCGCAGCUGACUGAGCUCAAAGUCAUAAAUCUAAUCCCACGGUUAAAUCUCCAUAAAAUACUUUAACUCUAAAUUUGCUCCAUGCUCGAAUAUUUCCGACAACAAAUCUGUUUUCUGUAAAACUUCAAACUCACUCAGGUUAAACCGACAGAGACCAACUCAUUUAUCUAAAUAACUUCAUAGUUUACAGCUCAGUUCUGACAUAUAAUGAGUUUUCAUAGUUUCACAAACAGACAUUAACAACGUGAUGCUAAACAAAGCUCAUGUUUCUGACGUACGGCUGAGUGUUUGAGCAGCGUGAAAAAAGAGGUGAGAUCAUUUUCAUCAAACACAAACAUAAUCAGGUGAUCCAGGAGAAAAGGAGCCGUAUAGAAUAAAAGAGCUUUUCUCAGUCAAACCCUAUUUAAUACAAACUAACUUAAACAUAUCUAAACAUUCUUCUACAUGAUUUAUCCUGUUAUUUUUUGGGGGGAAAUGCUGCUAAAUUAUCGGUCUAAAACAUAUUUUUCUCUUUAAGAAAACCAAGUUUAUCAGGUUUUGUCGCCUCGUGAAUUUUAACAGCUGUUAUCAUCAUUAAAUUUGUCUGUUUUAUCAAAUAAAAACAAACCACAAAAACAUGAUAUCAGAGUUAUUUACGGCCCACCUGCUCUGCUAACGUCAGCGCUGAUAUCGGCCUUUAAAAAACUGAUAUUUGUUGAUCACUGAAUCUAAUAUUAGGAAUAUAAAUAAUCCAGAUCAGAGAGUCUCACUGUGAGUUUAACAGCCUCUCUAAUGGAACAAUAACAACAUGACAUUAAACACUAAAUAAGAAACUAAAAAAGGAUUUAAUCGUCCUUCUGAACCAGCCGAGAGCUCAGCCAGUUACCUUCCACACAUCCAGUUAGCAAAUGUCCUUAAACUGGUGAAAUGAGCGUCUCCUUUACAGCCCGGGGUCUUUGCUGCUGCUCUACCUGCCUCAAUACUCGGGCUGGGAUGGUAUGUUUUUCUCCUGAUUCGAUUCUUCUACGAUGUUUUGGAUGCCGAUUCAGUUUAAAUCGCGAUUCUACGAUAUUGUCAAUUAUCUCGAUCUUUAGUCUGCGUUUUUAACUCCAGUGAAACAGUUGAAUGAUCGUCUACGGACUAUUCCAGGAACCGUAUUUCCCUAAAAAUACACAUCACAUGUAAGUCAGUUUUUGAGAUUUAUUCUUAAAUUAAAAAAAAAAACAAAAAAAAAAACAUUAAAAUUGAUUAAAAAAUUGUAAAACAAAAAAUCGCGAUACUUCUGUGAAUGGACUUUUUCUCCCACCCCUACUCAAAACCUCCAAAUAUGAGGGGAUGGUCAAAGCUCUAAAGUCCAGACUGAAAUAAAAAGUUAUCUGACUCCAGUUUUUGUUCUUUCUCUUGUAUUUUAGAGGAGUUAUGAAUCAGAGCGUGGAGAUUAAUUUGGACCAAAUAAAAGUUAUUUCAGUGAACGUGUCUGAAUUUCUGCUGCUCGGAUUGAGUCACUCGGAGGUUUUUUAUCCUGCUGCUUCAUGUGUCGGUGUGAACACACUCAUGUCAGCUGUUCAGUUUAGAAACAGCUUCCUGUAACAUCUGGGACGUUUGAUUAAAGGAGACAAAAUCAAUUCAGUUUCGCUGUAGCUUCAGUUUUCAGCUCCUCCAGGAAAACCAACAAAGCUUCAGCGCAGGAAAACUGAAACUGAAUAAACCAGCCGAUCAGAUUCUGUAGAUUUUUAGUCCACGUUAAAAAUUCAACUUUGCAUUCCCUAAAUUAAAAUCAGUCUGUGUUCAUGUUCAGAAAUAAACACCAGUGUACUCCUUCUUUAAAAACGACGUCAGUGAUCCCUUCAUCGUCGUCUAUAACCUCUGUGAGAUCACCUGUGAGGUGGAGACAGUUUGGAUGUUCCUCUUAUUGGACUGUUGUCCAGGUCAGGAGCUCCUUCAGUUUCCGUCUUUCCUCCGUCUGACUGUGAGUUUGUCGUGCUGCAGUCUGGUCAAUAAUGAUCCUGUAACAUGAAGAAUUCACUGUCAGUCAUAUUUCCCCACAAACACACAGAAGUACAGCGUCUCAGAGUUAUCAUCUCACUUGUUCGUCCGCCCUCACAGACGUCUCUCUCUCUCCUCGUCUCUCUCUCUGCACACAGAAGCUCAGGCCGGCUUCUCAUUUACACCUCCCUCACCGCUUCUUCCAGGGAAAGGAAAAUAAUUGGGUUCUUUUUCGAGGAGGAAGCUGAUGAGCAGCAGGUCAGAUUCACACACCUGCUGGCAAACGUACGAGCCGGGGGAGGUAAAGGAGUAAUGGUCUCAGCUACUGUAACAACGUCUGCUGCACUGCCCUCAAGCUGGGCUCCUCACCCUGCAGAACAAUGAACCUGCAGCUGAAAACAAGCUCUGCUGAUGUACAUGUAGCUUCAAGUUUCCGCUGCAAGAAGACAAGAGAGCUGCAAAGACCUGGAGGAUCUCCAUGAGAAGACAGAGGCUGCAGAUUCAGACCAAAAAAACUAAGAGAAGAACCGGAGAGAGGAAGUUUAAGAAAACCUGAAAGUCCA